AGCGAACGCUGGCGGCAGGCCUAACACAUGCAAGUCGAGCGAAGCCUUCGGGCUUAGCGGCGGACGGGUGAGUAGCGCGUGGGAACGUGCCCUUUGGCACGGAAUAGCCCCGGGAAACUGGGAGUAAUACCGUAUGUGCCCUUCGGGGGAAAGAUUUAUCGCCAAAGGAUCGGCCCGCGCUGGAUUAGGUAGUUGGUGGGGUAAUGGCCUACCAAGCCGACGAUCCAUAGCUGGUUUGAGAGGAUGAUCAGCCACACUGGGACUGAGACACGGCCCAGACUCCUACGGGAGGCAGCAGUGGGGAAUCUUAGACAAUGGGGGAAACCCUGAUCUAGCCAUGCCGCGUGAUCGAUGAAGGCCUUGGGUUGUAAAGAUCUUUCAGUGGGGAAGAUAAUGACUGUACCCACAGAAGAAGCCCCGGCUAACUCCGUGCCAGCAGCCGCAGUAAUAC
rnacentral:rRNA from 1 species